rnacentral:rRNA from 1 species
CCUACGGGGUGCUGCAGUGGGGAAUAUUGGACAAUGGGCGAAAGCCUGAUCCAGCCAUGCCGCGUGUGUGAAGAAGGCCUUCGGGUUGUAAAGCACUUUCAGUGGGGAAGAAAGCCUUGGGGCUAAUACCCUCGAGGAAGGACAUCACCCACAGAAGAAGCACCGGCUAACUCCGUGCCAGCAGCCGCGGUAAUACGGAGGGUGCGAGCGUUAAUCGGAAUUACUGGGCGUAAAGCGCGCGUAGGCGGUCUGAUAAGCCGGUUGUGAAAGCCCCGGACUCAACCUGGGAACGGCAUCCGGAACUGUCAGGCUAGAGUGCAGGAGAGGAAGGUAGAAUUCCCGGUGUAGCGGUGAAAUGCGUAGAGAUCGGGAGGAAUACCAGUGGCGAAGGCGGCCUUCUGGACUGACACUGACGCUGAGGUGCGAAAGCGUGGGUAGCAAACAGGAUUAGAUACCCCGGUAGUC